UGGGGAAUUGUUCGCAAUGGGCGCAAGCCUGACGACGCAACGCCGCGUGGAGGAUGAAGGUCUUCGGAUUGUAAACUCCUGUUGCCCGGGACGAAAUGUUCAGACCUAAUACGUCUGAGUUUGACGGUACCGGGUGAGGAAGCCCCGGCUAACUCUGUGCCAGCAGCCGCGGUAAUACAGAGGGGGCAAGCGUUGUUCGGAAUUACUGGGCGUAAAGGGCGCGUAGGCGGCCCUCUAAGUCGAACGUGAAAUCCCUGGGCUCAACCCAGGAACUGCGUCCGAGACUGGGGGGCUAGAAUCCGGGAGAGGGAUGUGGAAUUCCAGGUGUAGCGGUGAAAUGCGUAGAUACUGGGAGGAACACCGGUGGCGAAGGCGGCUACCUGGACCGGUUCUGACGCUGAUGCGCGAAAGCGUGGGGAGCAAACAGGAUUAGAUACCCCGGUAGUCCCUGAGCGGGCUGGCAAGGCGCAU
rnacentral:rRNA from 1 species